GCGACCCCAGGUCAGGCGGGAUUACCCGUUGA
rnacentral:rRNA from 1 species